GUUGAGUCAUAGGUCAGCUGCUGUGUUGACUCCACAGAACAACGGGAAAAGCAGCAUUUGAUAUGUAUGACAGGUCUGGAAUGAGUUUUUACGGCCGGGAUACCUCCCAUCCCCCUUCACCUAAAGAAAUUCCUUCUAACAAUGUGUUUUUGUUGUUGAUUCAUUUCAUGCCGUCUUUUUUUUUACUGUCGUCUAUUGAUGUAAAAAUGUUACUCUAUGCUAUUUCUGACAACAUGUUUCAAGCUAACAACAGUUAUGAAUGGUUUCUUCUCCACAUAAAGGAAAACACCAUAGAAGGUUUUCUGACUUUGUAGAUAAGUUAAAGACUACAAACAUGGCCACUUUGCAAUUUCCGCUAAAGCCAAGGCAGACUACCUGGGCAAACUAGAACAUUGUAGGCGUGGCUUAUUUACCAUUCCGCCCACUCCCAAUAUAAACUGUUUGUUUACCUGUGUUGAAGAGAUCCCUCAUGAACCACCUCCAGAACGCGAGCUCGUUUACCUUGUGUCUCUGUUAGAAUAAACCACGUGUUGAACAACCUCUCGGAGUCAUAAAUAGCCCGAGACGACCAUACCACAAAGGAUCAAAAUAGUUUUUCAUCACUAUGCCUCAGCAACAGUAAGUAUUGUUUAUCAGAUGAACAAAUAAAAUGCAUGAUCCUUUUACUCCGUUUCGAGGUUUCUUGCUUCCGGUGGAUUAAUGAAGGCAGUCUGCACACGAGUGGCCUCUCGUGGCCAGAGUAGCGUCCAGCACAUGGUAGGCCUUUUGGUAGGACGGUGAUGUUGUAGACACGAAGAGCGACCAAAAAAAUGCUAUAUCUUCAAGCCAGGUAAUUGUGAGAUCUUUUUAAAUUUUGUGUUUUACUAAUACAAUGGCCAACAAAGGCGGAGCCCAAGGAGUGGCUAUGGGCCUUGUAUCAGAGGCGUUUUUGGAGAGGAAACAGCAGGUGUAGCUAAUUGAGAGUCUGUACUCUACAUGCCAGUGGUCAUAAUGAAAUAAUGACAUAGCCUACGGUGUUCAGAACUACUAUAUAACGCUUCUUUUUUUUUUACGCUUUUCGAAAAGGUAAUUGAAUCAGGAUCGUUUUUAACUCACUUUAUUUGGUAAAGUUUCGAUAUGGUAACUAUGAAGCAUAAGGAGGGCAAUUGUAUAUGGACGAGUGUAGAUGCUUAGCUGGGGAUGAGCCUGUAGAGUGUCUGUCCGUCCCGCUUUCGGGCUGUGUAGAUAAGGAGUAGGCGUGGAAUAUAUGACGCCUCCCUUUUUCAUCAUGUGUGAUGGUGCUGCUAUCUGGUGGCUAUAUGCAGUUAUUACAGCAUAUAUGUUUGGUCCUGCUCCCCCUGUGGCUUUGUGCAGUUAUGGCAGCUUAUAUGCUUAUUUGCGUCAAGACAUCCACAUUUGUUAAGUUUUUGGGGCGACUUUGGGUAUCUGUUACGUAGGUAGGCCUACCCCCGCCCCUCCCUCUAGAGUAUCCUGCAGGCCCUGUGGUGACAACAGCUGAGGGCAAUUACAAUCAAAAGGGGCGGGUGGAUAAAGCCUGCGCUCUCCACACCACUUGGCUCUAUGCCACGGCUGAUACUGGUUGUAUCGUGUUUGGGCGCUACGCCAUUGAUGUGGACACUACCUGUCGCAUUUGUAGGCUUUCAUGUCAUUGUUUGUAGGCUCUUCAGCCAUCAUUUUGUUGUCUUGCUGAUCUUGCCAGGCAAGUUACAUUUCCCUGACGAUAGUCGUUUGCUUGUGUUGUAUUAGUUUGUCUUACCAAGCUGAGUGGGUUAUUGUUUAGUAGUGUUUGUUUGUCUUACUGUUGUCCCUGUUUUGUUCUCCCUUUCCAGUCAAUAAAUAUUAUUUACUUUAGAAAACGUGUUUGCUUUGGAU
ensembl:lncRNA